GGAGAUCUAUGGCUGGGGACACAGGAAAGCCUCUUAAAUUAAGAUCUUGAGCCAGAAUCUUCCCUCAUCUGUUCCCUAUCAGUUUGGGAAUUCUUUGAGCCUGGCCCAAGCUACCUACCUGUCCUACCAGCAGCAUCUCCUCUUCAAAGGACCAUUGGCAAAACCUCUCAGUUCCAUGCGGAGAUGGAAAAGUCUUUGAUCCAAGUUCAGGCUCACUGCACAGUCAGAGCAAUAAGCAUUAGAGAAAAACACACAGCUCAUUUGUUUAAAACUUGACUCUGCCCAUUGUGAUUUAAACAGGUUUGAGGUAGGUUGUGCUUCUUCCUGCUCUGGCCCAGGGCAAAGUGGAAUCCAGGCUUCUUCCUUUCAAAGGAGCUCAGCUCAGCUCAGGCCUAUGGCUCAAGCUUAGGUAACACUGAGGCUUUGAAAGGAAAAAAAGAAAGAGAAUGAGAGAGAAAAAAAGAAGGGAAAAUAAAACAGAAAACACUGCACCAGUGGGAGAAGCGGACAAUUCAGUCCAGACUCAAACUGGGCUUCUAGUGCCUGGGAGCAGCAGAGGACAGCUAAAGAAUGUGAACCCAAAAUGCCCUGAAGUGAAGGAUCCUUCUGUUUCCACAAGUUCUCUUCAUCUCUUUUGGAGGUCAGGGAAUACUACAGCCCAUCUCCUGGGCAGGAAGUAGACAGCUCUACCGCCACUCCCCACAGAGCACUGGCCAUAAAUGCUUGUGGAACUGAAUUUAAUUGAGCUCAUAAAAUAGCUAAAAAGAAAUAGAGGUUAAAACAAAUAUGCAGAAAGCCUGGCUUAAAACCAGCAAUACCAUAUCAUCGUGUUGGUAUGUAUACAUGAAGCUGACAAGAAGGUAAUAAAUGUGUGAAAAAAGGAAUUAGGAUUUCUCAACAUACUUAUAAUCUAGUUCCACCAUCAACUUUGAAACCACUGCAUUUGGACUUGAACAGCUCAGGCUCUAACUAUAGAAAUGUCAUUUAAGAAGAUGAAGCCAUGAUAUUUGGCUGUGCCAACAUUUACAAAGAAGAAAUCUAUGCUUAAAAACUCUGAGAAAUAAUUUUAGAAGACAUGGAUUUAAAGCAAAUUAUAGAGUUGGAAGGAACCUUAAUGGUCAUCUAGAGAUGGUCCUAGAAUAGGAAACCCCACAAUUGCAUACUUGAUAAAUAUAAUUGACAAGCAUGUCAUUCACUUAAAAAAAAUUAAAAAAAAAAACAAA